AUAUAUGCCUAUUGGAGCAUAGAGGCUACUAAAACACAUAGGAGUUGGUAAGUCUUCACCUUCUGAUUCUUUUGGAGGGUGAUGAAGUCAUUAGGCUAAGUUUAUUGAUCAUGUUAAAUAAGAUGGGAAACUUCAUUUAUUUAACAUUUUUCUUAAUGAAAUGUACCAUUGAUAUCCUUUAUUAUUAUUUCAGUGUGAUAAGGUCUAAAAAAUUCCUAGUCAUACAGUAAAUUAUUGAUUUAAAAUGGCAUCAAAUAAUCAGAAGGAAAGAGGAGGAAAAUUUGGAUUAACAGAAGCUAAUAUUAAGGAAUAUGGGAUUUCUAAGAGUUAGUAAGCUUAUUAUAAGUCAAGAGUCAAAGUAGAAAUUCCACCUAACCUGGAAUUAGCAAUUUUCCUUCUCCCUGGAAUAUUCAAGGAUGGGCAAAGUAGGAGCUUGGAGGAGGUAUUAUAAAGAAUACGUAAAUCUUUUAUAAAUGGUUGGCUAUAAUUAAUCCUUCAUGUAUUAUAAAAUGAUGAAACUGUCAACAAACAGUAAAGCAUAAAUGCUUUAUCAUUUUACCUUCUUUUAAACAUUUCUCUUAAAAAACUGAAAACAUAACCAAAAGUUAGAAAAAACAAUCAUGUAGCCGAUAUGUAAGUUCCUACCAAGUUUAACAACCUAAAUUCUUAAUAGAAGUUAAAGUGAAAUAUUUGCACAGCAAUUGUCUCAAUUCUCAUCCAUUGUCUCUUUCCUUUUGUUUGUAGGCCCCAGAACAAUACCCUCCUUCUUCUUAGCCAUCAUUUUGAAUAUUAGUAACCCUAGGACAUGAUUAUGGCGGCUUGGUGGAAAGUCCUAUUUGCUUUCUUACUCAAAAUGAUUCUUCCUAAAGAAAAAUCCUUUAAUCAUCUAGUAACACUUAUUAGCCCCAAUACACCACAUACACCCAAAGUAUUUGUAAAAUUAUGUUUUGGAAUUUAAUUUUUUAAAUUGCAUUAUAUUAUGCGUUAUAUCACAAUUUAAAAAUAAUUGGAUCCAUCAUAAUUUCUAGAUUUUCCGUAAGAAAAAAGAAAUCUAAUCAAAUAAUGUUACAUGGACAACACACACCAGAGAUUAAUGAUCAAUAUUUUGAAAAUAGUAAUAGUAGUCUCUGAACUAUUGGAAAAUCUCCUUUUCUCCUCUGUGUUAAUAACAUCAUAAAAAUGUUUAAAAACCUUAUGCAUAAUAAACUGAUUAUCAAGCAUAUACAAGUUCUCCCAUUGUAUUUGUUUCUGGGGUAGCCAUUACAGAUUAUCAAAACUGGUGGCUAAAAUCAACAGAAAUGUAUGCUCUCACGGUUCUGUUGGCAGAGGCUUGCUCUUUCUGACAGUUCUAGGGUUCAAGCUUCACCUCUACCUAGUUUCUAGCAAUUUAUUGGCAAUCCUGGAAUUCCCUGGUUUGUAAAUGUGUUAUUUCAAUCUCUGCCUCUCUUGUCUGCAAGCAAUCUUCUCC
rnacentral:lncRNA from 1 species